rnacentral:lncRNA from 1 species
GUUCCUGCUGCCGAUGUCUUCAUGAUUGUGCUUAUUUAAUGUGCAAUGAACUGGCUGGUGGUCCUAAAACACCACUUCGAUUAUGUCACUCCAUUCUUUUCAAGAAGGUAGGAAACAUACCUCUGUUGAAUAACUUGACCAAGAUCUCACAGCUGGAAUACUGCUUGGAGUCUACCAUGUAAGAAAGCCUGUCUAACUUGUUGGAAGAUGAGAGCCCAUGUGAAGGAGAAGGACGGCAUCCCUGUUGAUAGCCAGUACCAACUACCAGACAUCUGAGUGAGGACAUCUUGGAUCUUCCAUGCCUGCUGAUCCUGCUGCUAAAUACAGCCUUAUCCUUGAUAUGGAGAAGCUUAUAAAAAUUGC